GAACGGGUGAGUAACACGUGGGCAAUCUGCCCUGCACUCUGGGACAAGCCCUGGAAACGGGGUCUAAUACCGGAUAACACUCCUACACUCAUGUGUGGGUGUUGAAAGCUCCGGCGGUGCAGGAUGAGCCCGCGGCCUAUCAGCUUGUUGGUGAGGUAAUGGCUCACCAAGGCGACGACGGGUAGCCGGCCUGAGAGGGCGACCGGCCACACUGGGACUGAGACACGGCCCAGACUCCUACGGGAGGCAGCAGUGGGGAAUAUUGCACAAUGGGCGAAAGCCUGAUGCAGCGACGCCGCGUGAGGGAUGACGGCCUUCGGGUUGUAAACCUCUUUCAGCAGGGAAGAAGCGCAAGUGACGGUACCUGCAGAAGAAGCGCCGGCUAACUACGUGCCAGCAGCCGCGGUAAUACGUAGGGCGCAAGCGUUGUCCGGAAUUAUUGGGCGUAAAGAGCUCGUAGGCGGCUUGUCACGUCGGGUGUGAAAGCCCGGGGCUUAACCCCGGGUCUGCAUUCGAUACGGGCUAGCUAGAGUGUGGUAGGGGAGAUCGGAAUUCCUGGUGUAGCGGUGAAAUGCGCANAUAUCAGGAGGAACACCGGUGGCGAAGGCGGAUCUCUGGGCCAUUACUGACGCUGANGAGCGAAA
rnacentral:rRNA from 1 species